rnacentral:lncRNA from 1 species
AUUAAGCCGAGUGGAUCCCCCCAUGGAUUCUUUAUUUGGUUCACCUUAGGGAGAAGCUUAUGGUGUGGUGGGGAAGGUGAUAAAUCUGCAUCUGAAGACCUGCACUCCGAUUCUGGAUUUUAAACUUUUGGUUUGGAAAGUUAUUCCACCUCAUUUUGGUACAACUCGGAUGGAAUGACUCACCUGAUAAAUCGUCUUGUCAGGGAGUCGGAGAGCUGCAGUGUAGUGUUAGACAGCCACCGGCCACCUAAUCAGAACAACAGCCCUGCCCUGCAACUGAUGAAGAUCAUAAGCAAAAAGCAAGAACACUUAUCCUGCAGGUACCAAGUUAGCAAGACUUCCCAGAUUCAGCACAAGGAUCCAGACCUCAGCUUGAGGUAAAGCCCUUAGUAGACUCUAAUUCACUGUGUCCUCCAGAGGGGUCGAAUAUUAUGUGUCCUAAUCCCAGGUAAGCAGAUGCACAAGGACCUCAAAAGUUAAAGCCUGAGAAGGCAAAGAAUAAAGUCUCUCCCCUUGAGCCUAGGUAAUUAUUUAAUAAACAUGGAAUGAAAUGUCUGUUCAGUGUCAGGCAGUGGGGUGGGUGAUGGCAAAGACUCCUGAUUAUGAGACAAUGAAAUGUGGUCCCAGAGGAAAGAGGGAGCUGCUCUCUGUGGGUUCUAGUCUGGCAGGGAAGACAGGUGUGCACACAAGAACCACACCCAGAGAUUCAGUCAACACUGUAACGUGACACCAUAACAGAGGCACUGAUAUGCACAGUGAGGUUAUUUGCUGGAAAUUCUAGAGGAGAAGACAUUUAUUCCACAUCUUGAAAAAUGAGCUGCUAAGGUGGUGCUCUGAAUUCAGCUUAGUGAUUUGACAGAGGAAUGCACAGCCCCAGCUCUGCCCCUUCCUCCCGCCAUUUUCUUCUGAGCAAGCUGUGUGGCUGACAGGGUCUUGGUGCUCUGGCCAGGUGUUGGGCCUGAGUCUCUGAGGUGGGAGAGCCUAGUUCAGGACAUUGGACCACCAGAGAUCUCCCGGCCCCACGUAAUAUCAAUUGGCAAGAGUUCUCCCAGAGAUCUCCGUUUCAACCCUAAGACCCAGCUCCACUCAACGACCAGCAAGCUCCAGUGCUGGACAUCCUAUGCCAAACAACUAGCAAGACAGGAACACAACCCCAUCCAUUAGCAGAGAGGCUGCCUAAAAUCAUAAGUUCACAGACACCCCAAAACACACCACCGGAUGUGGUCCUGCCCACCACAAAGACCAGAUCCAGCCUCAUCCACCAGAACACAGGCACCAGUCCCUCCACCAGGAAGCCUACACAACCCACUGAACCAACCUUACGCACUGGGGGCAGACACCAAAAACAGCGGGAACUACGAAGCUGCCUGCGAAAGGGAGACCCCAAACACAGUAAGUUAAGCAAAACGAGAA